rnacentral:pre_miRNA from 14 species
UUUAAAAACAGUGCUACAGCACGUAAUUUAAUAGUCUGUGUUGAAGUGAAAGACCCCCGGAGUGGGGAGACCCUCACUCAAGUCUCGGGAUGACGCAACCCCCCAAGAACUCACACAAGACC